GUAGCUUCAGCAGCCCAAGCCACAUUCAUGAGUCAGUCACACUUAGUCCUCUGCCACAAGUGAAUGGUUUAGGUCGUUUUAAUGCAGAAACUUCGGUCACUGGCUUUGUUCCUGAUCAUCCUGUAACUGCUAAGGCAGUUUUUCCUUCUGGAAGCAAUCCUUUAUCAGGAAAUGAGGAAAAGAUUGUGCAGAAGGGAACUAGUACUGAACCAUUACUUUUUUCAGGACCAGCUACUUCUCUUCUUAGAGAUGUCAAAAGGACAUCUGUUGUUUGGGAUCAAGAUGCUGGCAGGUAUGUAUCAGUUCCUGUGUCAGCUUCUGAAGCUAGAAACAAAUCAACAAUACAAAUGGGAUUGCCAAAUUCUAGUGUAGAAAUGAGCAAUCAUGGCAAGAAGCCAAUAAUUCCAUCACAAGAGCCUUCAUCUUCAGCAACCAAGACUCCGGCUCAGCAAGCUGAGAAACUGAUGUACACAGGGGACUCCAUUUUCUUCGGUGGCCCACUUUUGAGUGCCCCAAUUAGGGAUGGUUUAGGAAAUGGAGGUUCAGGUUCAAGAGAGGGCCAACAGAGGUUAGCACUGAGCUUACCACGGGAGUCUAGAUUCAAAAGAGAUUCCACCUCAAACCAACUUCCUGUCUUUGUUCCUGGGGGUUUAGAGCAGAACCCUCCUCCUGGAUCUGGUUUAACGAAGAGUUAAAAAGAUUUGAACUUGGAAUUGGGAUUUGUGUACAAUUUUUGGUCCAAUUAUAGGGUGAGUUAAAAAGUGAUGGACUUGAAGAAGAAACCUCUUGUGGGAGCAUUUGAGCAGCCCCAGGAACCUUGCAAUUUUGAGCUAUUGUAAAUCUGUGUUGUGAGGUUCAAGCGGUUUCUUCUUUGAAGGGACACUUAAGGUAAAGAAGCACAUGCAAGGUAUCUCAACAUAGCUUGUCCCCUUAGAUUUCUUUCUAAUCCUGUACAAUUGGCAUUGUUGAUGGAUUGCAAAAGAUUAACUAUUCAUCUCUUUAAUGGUGUUGGGAAUGGAAAUAACAUAUCAAUU
rnacentral:misc_RNA from 1 species